AUUGAACGCUAGCGGGAUGCUUUACACAUGCAAGUCGAACGGCAGCGCGGACUUCGGUCUGGCUGCGAGUGGCGAACGGGUGAGUAAUGUAUCGGAACGUGCCCAGUAGCGGGGGAUAACUACGCGAAAGCGUAGCUAAUACCGCAUACGCCCUACGGGGGAAAGCAGGGGAUCGUAAGACCUUGCACUAUUUGAGCGGCCGAUAUCGGAUUAGCUAGUUGGUGAGGUAACGGCUUACCAAGGCGACGAUCCGUAGGUGGUUUGAGAGGACGGCCAGCCACAUUGGGACGUGGACACGGACCAGGCUACUACGGGAGGGACCAGAGGGCUACUUUGGGCAAUGGGGGGAAACAUGAUACAGUCAGCCGGAGUGUGAGAUGAAGGCCCUCGGGUCGUAAAGAACUCUUGGCAGGAAAGAAACGUCGCGGGCUAAUACCAAGUGGAACUGACGGUAACUGCAGAAUAAGCACCGGCUAACUACGUG
rnacentral:rRNA from 1 species